AAUCUCCAGAUUCCUUACCCUGCCGAUCUAAAUUUUGACCCGCGUGGCUGAAAAAGGAGGAAAGUAGCACUGAAAGCUAUAUAUUCUGUGUGGGACAUAUCAAAAUAGGAGCACAUAGGA
rnacentral:snoRNA from 1 species